rnacentral:lncRNA from 1 species
UGGCUGGCAGGAUGGGGAGCACAGAGCUGCAUAAUGGAAGGUGUCAGGGCUGCUGACUGCAGAGGAGUACUUUGCUGCAGACGUCCAAGUUUGCGGGGCUCCCCUGGUACUCCCUUCAGAAGAGUGUCGACUUAACGGCACGCAGGCUCUGGCAGUGCCAGAAAGCUUUCGACCUGCUUCCUGGCAGCGGUUGCUAAUUCUUUUCUUUUCUUCCCAGAUAAUUUUUACAAAAGGAAGUAGGGGGCUGAGCAUGCAGGGGAUGCCCCGGAGAGCGAGCCGUACUCACAGCUCACCAGCUUCCUCCUUCCUCUGUCCUAGAGGGGGACCAUCCUGUGCUCCUCUAAGUGCCAUAAGUACGAACAAUCAAAGAUGAUUUAACAUCCACGCUGCACACCAAUGACAUGAAUAAAAGAUUUAAAGAUACUGCCACAGCUCAGAGAGCCUCCUCUUCAAGUUUUCAUCACUACGCUGCUCUCCGGCCCGAGGAUCUCCGCCAAGUGACUGAGCACUUGAUUCUCCAACCUCCAGAGGCGGCCCUGCCCCAGGGCAGCAUUAAGAAGUGCUGAAGAGGGGGCUUAUUCUUAGGGUUCCCCCAACCUUGUUCUCCACUUGGCAGUGGGACCCUGUAAUCAAACAAACUCAGAAAAGCAUUCCCUUUUAGUUUGGUAGCAAAGCAUUUUGUUGUUGCUGAGAAUUGAUUGAUGGACAUUUCUGAGACUGGGAAUCAAACCAGUGUCAGUUCCAGUCCCGGGAACCGGGGAAGGCUUCAUGUCUUUUAGCCUUUGAAAGAUGCACUACGGAGAAUGUUUUCUGAAGUGCAGGAAAAAUAUCCUUUUGUUCAACGGACAUCGGAAUGCGGAGACUGCAGCAUGAUCCUUUUGGUAGGUCAUCAGAAUCAGGGGAGGAGUUCUCAAAACCCAAGCACCCAGGCCUCACCCUAGACCAGUCACACAAAAUUCACCAGCAGAAGGGCCCAGGCAUCAACAGUUUUUCAUUCAAGUUUUCCAGAUUCCUUAGGGACUGGUCAAUUUCAUCUAAGUUACUGGAUUUACAGCUCCCAGCUGAGUCCAGGGACUCAUCAUCCUCUGCUCCUGUGUGUGCUUGAGUGCUGCCACAAUGCAAAGCUUCCAGGGACGUACAUAUGGACUGAUACAAGUGAAUGCUGCAACUGUGCUUCAGUGACCCUUUACUACUUUAUACACAGUCUAGACAGGUUAAAAAUAAAGAGUGCCCCGUCUAAAAGGAAGGACAGAAAAAGAAAAGCAAAGAGCAUCCCACAUCCGCCUUCCACGUCAAAGCACAACCUCAAG